rnacentral:rRNA from 1 species
CGGUCCUAAGGUAGCGAAAUUCCUUGUCGGGUAAGUUCCGACCUGCACGAAUGGCAUAACGAUGGCCACACUGUCUCCUCCCGAGACUCAGUGAAGUUGAAAUGUUUGUGAUGAUGCAAUCUACCCGCGGCUAGACGGAAAGACCCCAUGAACCUUUACUGCAGCUUUGCAUUGAACUGUGAACCGAUUUGUGUAGGAUAGGUGGGAGGCAGAGAAGAGGCCACGCCAGUGGUCUUGGAGCCGACCUUGAAAUACCACCCUGAUUUGUUUGCGGUUCUAACCACGGACAGUGAUCCUGUCUUGGGACCGUGCAUGGUAGGCAGUUUGACUGGGGCGGUCUCCUCCUAAAGGGUAACGGAGGAGUACGAAGGUACGCUAGGUACGGUCGGAAAUCGUGCUGAUAGUGCAAUGGCAAAAGCGUGCUUGACUGCGAGAGCAACAACUCGAGCAGAUGCGAAAGCAGGUCAUAGUGAUCCGGUGGCUCUGAAUGGAAGGGCCAUCGCUCAACGGAUAAAAGGUACUCUGGGGAUAACAGGCUGAUACCGCCCAAGAGUUCAUAUCGACGGCGGUGUUUGGCACCUCGAUGUCGGCUCAUCUCAUCCUGGGGCUGUAGUCGGUCCCAAGGGUAUGGCUGUUCGCCAUUUAAAGAGGUACGUGAGCUGGGUUUAAAACGUCGUGAGACAGUUUGGUCCCUAUCUGCCGUGGGCGUUGGAAGAUUGACGGGGGCUGCUCCUAGUACGAGAGGACCGGAGUGGACGCACCUCUGGUGUACCGGUUGUCACGCCAGUGGCAUUGCCGGGUAGCUAAGUGCGGAAGAGAUAACCGCUGAAAGCAUCUAAGCGGGAAACUUGCCUGAAGAUGAGUCUUCCCGGAGGUUGAACCUCCCUCAAGAGUCGUCCGAGACCAGGACGUCGAUAGGUCAGGUGUGUAAGCGCUGUAAGGCGUUGAGCUAACUGAUACUAAUUGCUCGUGAGGCUUGAUCCU